GGUCGCGUGGCGAAAUGGCAUCGCGUCUGACUACGACUAACAUCGUUAUCAAUCAGGAGAUCGCGGGUUCGACCCCCGUCGUGACCU
rnacentral:tRNA from 2 species